rnacentral:rRNA from 1 species
GACGAACGCUGGCGGCGUGCCUAAUACAUGCCAGUCGAGCGGACAGACGGGAGCUUGCUCCCUGAUGUUAGCGGCGGACGGGUGAGUAACACGUGGGUAACCUGCCUGUAAGACUGGGAUAACUCCGGGAAACCGGGGCUAAUACCGGAUGGUUGUCUGAACCGCAUGGUUCAGACAUAAAAGGUGGCUUCGGCUACCACUUACAGAUGGACCCGCGGCGCAUUAGCUAGUUGGUGAGGUAACGGCUCACCAAGGCAACGAUGCGUAGCCGACCUGAGAGGGUGAUCGGCCACACUGGGACUGAGACACGGCCCAGACUCCUACGGGAGGCAGCAGUAGGGAAUCUUCCGCAAUGGACGAAAGUCUGACGGAGCAACGCCGCGUGAGUGAUGAAGGUUUUCGGAUCGUAAAGCUCUGUUGUUAGGGAAGAACAAGUGCCGUUCAAAUAGGGCGGCACCUUGACGGUACCUAACCAGAAAGCCACGGCUAACUACGUG